rnacentral:siRNA from 1 species
AAGCCCACCGUGCAGAGAUUGUG